GUUUGAUCAUGGCUCAGGACGAACGCUGGCGGCAUGCCUAAUACAUGCAAGUCGAGCGAAUCGAUAGGAGCUUGCUCCUUGAGAUUAGCGGCGGACGGGUGAGUAACACGUGGGCAACCUGCCCUGCAGAUGGGGAUAACUCCGGGAAACCGGGGCUAAUACCGAAUAAUCAAUUCCUUCGCAUGAAGGAAUUCUGAAAGACGGUUUCGGCUGUCACUGCAGGAUGGGCCCGCGGCGCAUUAGCUAGUUGGUGGGGUAAUGGCCUACCAAGGCAACGAUGCGUAGCCGACCUGAGAGGGUGAUCGGCCACACUGGGACUGAGACACGGCCCAGACUCCUACGGGAGGCAGCAGUGGGGAAUCUUGCACAAUGCGCGAAAGCGUGAUGCAGCAACGCCGCGUGAGGGAUGAAGGUCUUCGGAUUGUAAACCUCUUUCAGUAGGGACGAAUUCAGACGGUACCUGCAGAAGAAGCACCGGCCAACUACGUGCCAGCAGCCGCGGUAAUAA
rnacentral:rRNA from 1 species